rfam:Oryza rufipogon genomic scaffold, chr04
GCUAACAAACCCUACUUUUCAUGUCCAAUGUUUGACCGUCCGUCUUAUUUGAAAAAAUUAUGAAAAAAAUUAAAAAGAUAAGUCACGCAUAAAGUAUUAAUCAUGUUUUAUUAUCUAACAACAAUGAAAAUAAAUACUAAUUAUAAAAAAAUUUUAUAUAAGACGGACAAUCAAACGUUGGCAUGGAAAACUAGGGUUUGCCUUUUU